AAACCAUUGUGUGGACAGCUGCUCAGUAAAUUCUUGAAAUGUUCUCAAUAAUCUUACAGAGUCUCAUUCUUUUGCUAAAGAAACCCUGAUAUAUCAUUCCUCAACUU
rfam:Ricinus communis cultivar Hale ctg_1100012360263, whole genome shotgun sequence.